GAAAGACUCGAGAGAAAAAGAGAAAUUAUUAAAAUGUUGAUAAAGAGAAGAUAUCGUGAAAUUGAUUUCGGCUGUAGUUGAGUAGGAUUGCCAACUUUGCAACGAACAUUCGUGUAUCUCAAUCGGACUCUUGAAUAAUGCUUGAUAUAUAGCUGUUUGUGCAAAAUUUAAUUACAACCUUGGCAAAAUUAUACCGAUACGCCCAAAUCCGGCGGCAAGUGCAGGAGUGUGGCCGCCACUGUGGCGCAUGCGCUGCCUACUGUUGGUACUCU